rfam:Fusarium poae strain 2516 mitochondrion mitochondrial, whole genome shotgun sequence.
CUAUGGUCUUUAAUACAUGGCCAAAACUGUAGUGAACCUAUGGUUAUAAAUCAUCAAAUUGCGGGAACACCCUAAAGAAAUCUUAACCAAGUAAGUAUGGUAACAUAACUUAUGGCACAGGUAAUGACUCGUGGUAUGGUAAAAUCAAGAUUUAUUAUUCAAUGGGCAAUCCGCAGCCAAGUACCAAUUGUAGAGGUAAGCUUUUAUUUGGUAUGCAGUUCAUCGACUAGACGGUGGUUGGUGUUAUUAGUAUUAAUAAUGCUUAAGAUAUAGUCAGACCCUACCCGAAAGGGUACA